UCCAUGUCCAUCUUCCCUCUGGGCUCUUCCCUUUGGUUCCAAAGAGCUUAUUGUAGAAGUUAAAAAAAACAUACAGUAAAGUGAUUAUCAUAAUCCUAAUUAUCCUCUAGGCAAUGCAGAAAAGAAAAAACAUAAGGAUAAACAUAUUGAGAUUUGCUCUUGCUCCAGCACAAUUCCCUGAAAGCCUUCUUCUAAGCCUGGUAUCCUGGGAGUGGCAGUGUUUUCAGCGUGGCAGACGGAGCAGUCAGGAAGCUGGGAGCCCAAACAGCGUGAGACAAAGCCACACAACAGAGGCCGCGCAUCAGUCGAAUAGCACUCCUAUUUACUUAUCUUUGGAGCCUCCCAGGAGGAAUAAAACAACAGAACUGGAGACCUGUUCGUGUGCUUUGGCCUUCCUGCCCAGGAUGGGAGGGUAAAGGUCUGGGUCAAGGGUAAGUUUCACCCCUUUGAGUUUGGCUCUGAAUCUGUGGAGCUGAGGAUGCAUGUAGAGUCUGGCCACAGUAUUGUGUGGGCUGAUGCUGAACGUGGAACACACAAGUGCAGGUUUACAAAAGCAAUUGAGAAAGGC
rnacentral:lncRNA from 1 species